rnacentral:rRNA from 1 species
GACGAACCGUGCAAACGUUGUUCGGAAUCACUGGGCUUAAAGGGCGCGUAGGCGGCUCGCCAAGUCAGGGGUGAAAUACUUCAGCUUAACUGGAGAAGUGCCCUUGAUACUGGCGGGCUCGAGGGAGGUAGGGGUCUGUGGAACUUCUGGUGGAGCGGUGAAAUGCGUAGAUAUCGAGAGGAACACCUGCGGCGAAGGCGGGUUGCUGGGCCGACACUGACGCUGAGGCGCGAAAGCCAGGGGAGCGAACGGG